UUUGUUCUAUGCACGAUUUUAAUGCUCGUUUGCACCUAAUCAGUAGUCAAUAUUUCUCUCUUCUUCCUCAUAAUAUAAAAUUGUCUCAUGACAUAGGUUUUGUGUUGUUUAUUCAUCAUAUCUGCUCAGUGAUCACACUUUCUUGUUUAUCAAUUUUAUUAAGGUAUUAUAUUGUUGACUAAAACUGAAAAAGACCUCUUACUUAUAAUUAAAUACUCUAGUACCCGACCUAAACAUACCUUCCCAAUUAUCCUCUCCUUUCAAUUACAAUUAAUUCAGGAGUGUUUGGUCACGGUCAAUCAAUGUAAACUGAUUUCUUCGUCUUGUUUUUUCUAAAUACCUCAUACUGAUAUUUUGAGAAAAUAUUAGUGUUAAUUAAUAGGAAUAUUUGACAAUUUACGAUCAUUUAUUUUUUAAUUAGAAAAAAGCUAGAGAUCGCACCUUGUAGUUGUUCGGAAAAAUCAUUACACGCUCAAACUAAAGAUUAAUAUACAAGAAUAUGUGUGUGUGUAAGAAGUUCAAAGUACGAAUUUAAUUGAAUAAUUGAUCAUCGCAGCCUCCAAAACUUGCCUAUAUAUGAAACUCAACGCAACUUGGAAGUUCAAUCUGACUCAAUCCAUCUAUGUGCACAAUACUAAUUAAUAGCUAUUCAUUCAACCAAUUAAUUACUCGACCCCUAAUAAUCAAUCCUUGGAAAUAAUAUCCUGAAAACAAAGUCUUAGAAGCCUAAUUCUAGAGCAACUGAUCAAAUAAUAUAUAAUCAAAUCAAAGGUUAUUACAACAAAAUAUAUGGAGUAUGUAAAAAGUAAAAAAAAUCAAAUACAAUUCAUCACAACGUCGACCUCCAAAACAAGCCUAUAUAUACAUAUAAAAUUCAACAUGCAUCCAGCUUCUUAGUGCAACUUGGGAGUUGAAAUUCCCUUAUUGAAUCAGUUUUCAACUCGUCCAUGUCUGAUCCGAUCCAAUUAAAAAUUCUUGGAAAUAUAUAUAUAUGCAUGUAUUACAGGCGCGAAAGCUGUGAGUUGAUGGGGAAGUAAGAAACAGGAAUUGGAGCACUUGAUGACGAUGAUUUCUUUUUGGUCUUUGCAGCUGAUGACUUUGACUUACCAUUAUUGUGGAUCACAUCAUCACAAACUCUUGAAGAUGAAGAAACUCCAACACCACCACUGAAACAGCUCAAUAAACCUGGAAAAAUUGCCAUAUAUAUCUUAUGAAUGAUUUUUUGCUUAUAAUUAAUGAGAGGAGCUAAUUAAGCUAAUUAAUUGUUGUUCCUUUUUUCCUAGUAAUGAGAGCUAAUGGAACCACCAGAAGAACUAUAUAUGGGGAAAUUGAAAUAUCUGCAGUUUAUGUGGCUUUGCUUUUCUUGUUGACCAAGUAAAUUGAAAAUGAUGAUCAUUCUGGUGCUUCCUACUGCUUUCCCAGAUUUCUUUUUUGACUUUAGGCUAUACAUGUUAUGGACUAUAAUUGACUGGGAAUCAGAAUUGUAUUUCCUGCCUUUCAAUUUAAUUUAUGUCACAUCAGUUAACUUGACAUAAAAUAAUAUAAAAAAAGGAAUAUUUUUAAAAUAUAUGAUUUAAAACAAAUCUUAAAUAUUUGUCAAUUAUAUGCAUCAUUUUUUAUUAAGGGUAAAAGAUGAACUUGAAAAAUAAUUUGUUUUUAUUAUUAAAAGUGAUAUAUUCUUUUUUAGAUAAAAUAAAAGAAAGGUGUAUCAGAUAAAUUGAGGCGGAGGAAGUACCUACUUAACUCUGAUUUGAAUUUUAGAUUAUAUCUGAAAUUGAUUCACCUUUUAAAAGUGUUAGCAUGAAUUAAUGUUCAUUCAUUUAUCUUUAAUUGGAAAAACAUAUAAUCCUAAAGAAUAUACAAAUUCUAGAAGACGUUUAUUUUACUUCAAUUUUAUUUCGAUAUAACAAAAGUUUUAACUUAAUAAUCGUGUGCACGAAACACUCAAUUCAAAUUUCUAAUAAACCAAGUCUACAGAAAUUGACUGUUAAAGUAUGUGAUUCUCAAAUUUAAAUUUCUAAUUUAAAACAGUAUACAUGGAAAAAUAGUAUACAUCAGAAUUCUUACAUUAUUGGUGAAAGCUCAAUUUUUCUGUUUGUUAUUACCUCUCCCAUUUUCCUUUUCUUUGCUCUAAUUUUUUUUCUUUAAGUUGUUAGUUUCACA
rnacentral:lncRNA from 1 species